AUUCUGCCCAUGCGGGGAAGGAUGAGAAGCUUCGACCAAUGUUCGACUCGAGCGCCAGCGAGAGAGCGUUGCCGCAGGCAACGACCCGAAGGGCGAAGCGCGCAGCGCUGAGUAAUCCUUCCCCCACCACCA
rnacentral:sRNA from 1 species